rnacentral:rRNA from 1 species
AAUAGAUACCCGGGUAGUCCACGCCGUAAACGAUGAGUGCUAAGUGUUAGAGGGUUUCCGCCCUUUAGUGCUGCAGCUAACGCAUUAAGCACUCCGCCUGGGGAGUACGGCCGCAAGGCUGAAACUCAAAGGAAUUGACGGGGGCCCGCACAAGCGGUGGAGCAUGUGGUUUAAUUCGAAGCAACGCGAAGAACCUUACCAGGUCUUGACAUCCUCUGCCAACCCUAGAGAUAGGGCGUUCCCCUUCGGGGGACAGAGUGACAGGUGGUGCAUGGUUGUCGUCAGCUCGUGUCGUGAGAUGUUGGGUUAAGUCCCGCAACGAGCGCAACCCUUGAUCUUAGUUGCCAGCAUUCAGUUGGGCACUCUAAGGUGACUGCCGGUGACAAACCGGAGAAGUGGGGAUGACGUCAAAUCAUCAUGCCCCUUAUGACCUGGGCUACACACGUGCUACAAUGGAUGGUACAAAGAGCAGCGAACCCGCGAGGGUAAGCCAAUCUCAUAAAGCCAUUCUCAGUUCGGA